AUUGAACGCUGGCGGCAGGCCUAACACAUGCAAGUCGAGCGGAUGAAGGGAGCUUGCUCCUGGAUUCAGCGGCGGACGGGUGAGUAAUGCCUAGGAAUCUGCCUGGUAGUGGGGGAUAAUGUCUGGAAACGGGCGCUAAUACCGCAUACGUCCUGCGGGUGAUAGUGGGGGAUCUUCGGACCUCACGCUAUCAGAUGAGCCUAGGCCGGACUAGCUAGUUGGUGGGGUAAAGGCCUACCAAGGCGACGAUCCGCAACUGGUCUGUGAGGAUGAUCAGUCACACUGGAGCGGAGACACGGACCUGGCUCCUGCGGGAGGCAGCAGUGGGGAAUAUUGGACAGUGGGCGAAAACCUGGUCCAGCCAUGCCGCGUGUGUGGAGAAGGUCUUCGGAGUGUAAAGCACUUUAAGUUGUGAGGAAGGGCAGUAAGUUAAGACCUUGCUGUAUUGACGUUACCAACAGAAUAAGCACCGGCUAACUACGUG
rnacentral:rRNA from 1 species